rnacentral:lncRNA from 1 species
CUCCUCCUUCAAUUUCUUCCCCAAUCUCUCCUCCUCCCAACUCGCAUGACCCAUCCACCUCACGAUUUCUCCCUCCGUUGCUUUCUAUAUAAGUUGUUUCUAGUACACAAGGAGUCCAAGAUCAAUAACAUACCCCCAAACAGUUGAUGGGUCCUUCAAAAACUGGAUACGCCACUGCCCCCAAACUAUUAACUACCAUCUUCAGCCUUCAGGCGGGAUCAAAUUGGUGUGCGUCCCAGCGUCAGUGCGUGUGUCACAUAUACUCAAUGAAUCAGCAUAUUCAUGAUCUCUCUUAGUUUAGAUGGUCAUGGAACACAAUGGUGUUAAUAUUAACUCUUUUACAUGUUCAUAUUCUUAGUUAUUGUCUUAACUGAUUUUUUUUUUUUAUGUCAUAUCUCGAUUGCAGACUCUCUUGUGUAUUUUGGUUGUAGACUUGCAUUCCUGGAUGGAUUCAAUUUCUUACCGUCAAGGUGCAUAUCUUAUUAACAAUGUUUGGAAUCGUUUCUGUCUUGCUUUUGAUUUCUAUAUUUGACUUUAAAAAUCUUUUGCUGAUUUUUCAUCUAAUAGAUUCAAAAAUAUCAUUGUCAAAACCAUUAAAUUCAAUAGCAAUUGCCUGUAGAGUAGUGUAGACCUACCUGUUCUUGUUUGUAAUUACUAUGCUCUCGAUAAUGGAAGCACGAACGAUUUCAUACAAGAUUCGAU